rnacentral:rRNA from 1 species
UACGUAGGGUGCAAGCGUUAAUCGGAAUUACUGGGCGUAAAGCGUGCGCAGGCGGUUCGUUGUGUCGGCGGUGAAAGCCCCGGGCUUAACCUGGGAAUGGCCGGUGAAACUGGCGAACUGGAGUGUGGCAGAGGGGGGUGGAAUUCCGCGUGUAGCAGUGAAAUGCGUAGAGAUGCGGAGGAACACCGAUGGCGAAGGCAGCCCCCUGGGCUAACACUGACGCUCAGGCACGAAAGCGUGGGGAGCAAACAGG